GAUGAACGCUGGCGGCGUGCCUAAUACAUGCAAGUCGAGCGAACAGACGAGGAGCUUGCUCCUCUGACGUUAGCGGCGGACGGGUGAGUAACACGUGGAUAACAUACCUAUACGACUGGGAUAACUUCGGGAAACCGGAGCUACUACCGGAUAAUAUAUUGAACCGCAUGGUUCAAUAGUGAAAGACGGUUUUGCUGUCACUUAUAGAUGGAUCCGCGCCGCAUUAGCUAGUUGGUAAGGUAACGGCUUACCAAGGCGACGAUGCGUAGCCGACCUGAGAGGGUGAUCGGCCACACUGGAACUGAGACACGGUCCAGACGCCUACGGGAGGCAGCAGUAGGGAAUCUUCCGGAAUGGGGGAAAGCCUGCCGGAGCAACGCCGCGUGAGUGAUGAAGGUCUUCGGAUCGUAAAACUCUGUUAUUAGGGAAGAACAAAUGUGUAAGUAACUAUGCACGUCUUGACGGUACCUAAUCAGAAAGCCACGGCUAACUACGUG
rnacentral:rRNA from 1 species